AGGCGGCAGUUGGGGCAGUUGUUCCCUCAGGAUUUUCCCAACUCUGGCGAAGUGGCGGUUCACUUUGUGAACCACAUGAGUGGCGGUUGUGGCAGCCCUUCCCUCAGGACUGUUCCCACUCUGGUCUGGUGGCAUUUGUGGCAGUCCUUACCUCAGGAUUGUUCCCACUCUGCCAAGGAGGUGGUUGUGGCAGCCCUUCCUUCAGGACUGUCCCCACUCUGGCAAGGUGGCAGAUGUGGCAACCUUCCCCUCAAGACUGUUCCCGCUCUGGCACAGUGGCAGUUGGGGCAGCCCUUCCUUCAGGACUGUUCCCACUCUGGCAGCAGUUCCCUCAGGAGGUAGUCGUUCCUUCUGUGUGGAGAGCACCUACUGUAACAGCUGCAGUCUCCUUAAAUAUGGAGUGCUACAUACCUCCCCGAGUCAGGCUGAAUUUUCUGAGGCAAACACUCACAGGGCUACUGCAGCUGUCUCUGCUGUAAAAGUUUAUUGGUGACAGGGCAAGAGGGAGAGAUUAAUGCUAAUACUGGAGUUUGUACAUUGUCUGUUUGCUGCACUCAUCUGAUAUU